rnacentral:rRNA from 1 species
GACGAACGCUGGCGGCGUGCUUAACACAUGCAAGUCGGACGGAAAGGCCCUGCUUUUGUGGGGUGCUCGCGUGGCGAACGGGUGAGUAACACGUGAGUAACCUGCCCUUGACUUUGGGAUAACUUCAGGAAACUGGGGCUAAUACCGGAUAGGAGCUCCUGCUGCAUGGUGGGGGUUGGAAAGUUUCGGCGGUUGGGGAUGGACUCGCGGCUUAUCAGCUUGUUGGUGGGGUAGUGGCUUACCAAGGCUUUGACGGGUAGCCGGCCUGAGAGGGUGACCGGCCACAUUGGGACUGAGAUACGGCCCAGACUCCUACGGGAGGCAGCAGUGGGGAAUAUUGCACAAUGGGCGGAAGCCUGAUGCAGCAACGCCGCGUGCGGGAUGACGGCCUUCGGGUUGUAAACCGCUUUCGCCUGUGACGAAGCGUGAGUGACGGUAAUGGGUAAAGAAGCACCGGCUAACUACGUG